GACCCGGUGGCGGAUGGUCCGCAUCUGCUCAGUUUUCCAAUUCACCAAGUAAAGAAAAUUCGGCAGAAGAUGCCCGUUCGAUUCGGGCCCGGGUCA